GGGAAAUGUCAAUAACCGGAGGCCAGAGGUUUAGAAACCUGCGAGCCCACAGCAGUUACAACCAAUUCAGCCCUAGAGCCAACUGCAACUCUGGCAACGGCAAGAGGGAAAUUGAACUGCGAGUUCCUUUGUCAGGCCCUGGGCUCACGCGGAUGCAAUAGUCAAGUCACGCACUGGUGAGGGCUCGGGGACUGGGUCCCUUAACUCUCAGCUCCAGGAAUCUAGAGCUUCGAGGUCGCUUGAGGGUGGGUGAGCUGCUGGUCUCGCAUUUGAAUCUCGGGACCUGCUCUGUUGCUUACUUUUGUAAUGGGCAAAGCACUUCCUCUUUGAGCCAACGGUUUCUUCUGUCAAAUGAGAUGCUACUCGAUCAUCUCCCAAGUCUCUUGCAAUCCUUUAACAAUUCUGUGAAGCUAACGGCGGCGCCCAGCCUGAAAAGGACCCUAGAAGCCCGGAUGGACAAAUGUAGUCUAGGUGCCUCUUCUGAGUCUUCCUUCCAGGAGGGACAUUGAUGAAUUCAGAGACAAGAGAUACAGAUAAGAGAGAGAAGACUAAGGGAAGGUAUGACUAUUUUCAAAUAUCCUACAGGAUACUUUGAUUCUCUAUUAGUUGAUAUCUUAGUGUUGCUUGCUUCCGUUAGGAGAGAUCAUCAAAGCCUGCUUUAUUUUUAAGUCACAUAUAAUGUGGAGUAGAAGGUAGCA